rnacentral:rRNA from 1 species
GGGGCCGCACAAGCGGUGGAGCAUGUGGUUUAAUUCGAUGAUACGCGAGGAACCUUACCUGGGCUCAAAUGUAUGUUGACGUAUUCUGAAAGGGAUACUUCUUCGGACAAUAUACAAGGUGCUGCAUGGUUGUCGUCAGCUCGUGCCGUGAGGUGUCGGGUUAAGUCCCAUAACGAGCGCAACCCCUAUCAUUAGUUGCCAUCAGGUCAAGCUGGGGACUCUAAUGAAACUGCCUACGCAAGUAGUGAGGAAGGUGGGGAUGACGUCAAAUCAGCACGGCCCUUACGUCCAGGGCUACACACGUGCUACAAUGGCCGGUACAAAGGGCAGCUACCUGGUGACAGGAUGCUAAUCUCAAAAGCCGGUCUCAGUUCGGAUCGGAGUCUGCAACCCGACUCCGUGAAGCUGGAUUCGCUAGUAAUCGCGCAUCAGCCAUGGCGCGGUGAAUACGUUCCCGGGCCUU